UCGCACAUCUCUUCGGUGAUGAGUCCCUCUCACAUAUGAACUCUUAUCCAAAUAAUGUGUCAUUUAGUGAUGGCCUUCCUAUUUGAAUAAAGGUUUAUGUGGCAAAAUUUUAUACUAAUUUGAUGUGUGAAGAGAUGCAAAAAGUAUCUCAUUUUGGGCAUACGCACGUGAGAAGGCAUGAAUUGAUGUAUCACCCCCUG
rnacentral:lncRNA from 1 species